rnacentral:lncRNA from 1 species
GGUUGGGAUUGUGUUGUUUAGAGAUCAUCCAGGUUUUUGGUGGGGAUUGUGUUGUAUAGAGAUCAUCCAGGUUUUUGGUGGAGAUUGUGUUGUAUAGAGAUCAUCCAGGUUUUUGGUGUUGGUUGAUUAGAGUCCAGGUUUUGUAUUGUGUUGUAGAGAUCAUCCAGGUUUUGGUGGAGAUGGUGUUGUAUAGAGAUCAUCCAGGUUUUUGGUGGGGAUUGUGUUGUAUAGAGAUCAUCCAGGUUUUUGGUGGGGAUUGUGUUGUAUAGAGAUCAUCCAGGUUUUGGGUGGAGAUGGUGUUGUAUAGAGAUCAUCCAGGUUUUUGGUGGGGAUUGUGUUGUAUAGAGAUCAUCCAGGUUUUUGGUGGGGAUUGUGUUGUUUAGAGAUCAUCUAGGUUUUUGGUGGGGAUUGUGUUGUAUAGAGAUCAUCCAGGUUUUGGGUGGGGAUUGUGUU